UACGGAGGAUGCGAGCGUUAUGCGGAUUUAUUGGGUUUAAAGGGUGCGUAGGCGGGAUGCCAAGUCAGCGGUAAAAAUGCGGUGCUCAACGCCGUCGAGCCGUUGAAACUGGCGUUCUUGAGUGGGCGAGAAGUAUGCGGAAUGCGUGGUGUAGCGGUGAAAUGCAUAGAUAUCACGCAGAACUCCGAUUGCGAAGGCAGCAUACCGGCGCCCUACUGACGCUGAGGCACGAAAGCGUGGGUAUCGAACAGG
rnacentral:rRNA from 1 species